rnacentral:rRNA from 1 species
CCUACGGGUGACAGCAGUGGGGAAUAUUGGGCAAUGGACGCAAGUCUGACCCAGCAACGCCGCGUGAAGGAAGAAGGCUUUCGGGUUGUAAACUUCUUUUAAGGGGGAAGAGCAGUAGACGGUACCCCUUGAAUAAGCCACGGCUAACUACUGGCCAGCAGCCGCGUUAAUACGUAGGUGGCAGGCGUUGUCCGGAUUUACUGGGUGUAAAGGGCGUGCAGCCGGAGAGACAAGUCAGAUGUGAAAUCCACGGGCUCAACCCGUGAAGUGCCUUUGAAACUGUUUACCUUGAGUGUAGGAGAGGUAAGCGGAAUUCCUAGUGUAGCGGUGAAAUGCGUAGAUAUCAGGAAGAACACCAGUGGCGAAGGCGGAUUACUGGACGAUAACUGACGGUGAGGCGCGAAAGCGUGGGGAGCAAACAGGAUUAGAUACCCUGGUAGUC